rnacentral:misc_RNA from 1 species
GAAAUGCGAUAAGUAAUGUGAAUUGCAGAAUUCCGUGAAUCAUCGAAUCUUUGAACACACAUUGCGCCCUCUGGUAUUCCGGGGGGCAUGCCUGUCCGAGCGUCAUUGCGAACCCCUCAAGCACGGCUUGUGUGAUGGGCCCUCCCGCGUCUUGGUCGUCAAGACGGGCCCGAAAUGCAGUGGCGGCUUCGCGGUUAUCCGAUCAGCCAGAGCGUAUGGGGACUUUCUCUCUGUCACACGCCCGCGGCGCGGACCGACGCCUGUCGACCUUUAUUCAUCUUUUUCUCGGUUGACCUCGGAUCAGGUAGGGAUACCCGCUGAACUUAAGC